rnacentral:lncRNA from 1 species
AGUAGAUAAAACGGCUGGUGCAUAGAUUUUGGUGCCAAGAGAUCGCAGCGGCAGAGCAACACACGAGAGUGCUGACACAGUACAACGAUGAUGCUGAAGACGAUGACUGUGCUGGUCAGCCUGGUGCUUGUGGUUUCAGGAGUCGAUGCUAUGGAUCAGACUGAUAUCUACAAACGUUCUGUUUUUCAAAAGUUUCCGAAGCACCUCUACGAUAUACAGCGCCCAGAUUUUCAACAGCAAAGCAGUUCAUACAUGCAAGCGGAGCAUGCAUUCGUCCAAGAACCUGCCUUCAUGCAAGGAUGAGGCGGCACGCGCCUGAUCAUGUGGUGUCGGGCCACUUGAAAACGUUU